AGUGAACGCUGGCGGUAGGCCUAACACAUGCAAGUCGAACGGCAGCACAGUAAGCGCUUGCUCUUACGGGUGGCGAGUGGCGGACGGGUGAGGAAUACAUCGGAAUCUACUUUUUCGUGGGGGAUAACGUAGGGAAACUUACGCUAAUACCGCAUACGACCUACGGGUGAAAGCAGGGGAUCUUCGGACCUUGCGCGAUUGAAUGAGCCGAUGUCGGAUUAGCUAGUUGGCGGGGUAAAGGCCCACCAAGGCGACGAUCCGUAGCUGGUCUGAGAGGAUGAUCAGCCACACUGGAACUGAGACACGGUCCAGACUCCUACGGGAGGCAGCAGUGGGGAAUAUUGGACAAAGGGCGCAAGCCUGAUCCAGCCAUACCGCGUGGGUGAAGAAGGCCUUCGGGUUGUAAAGCCCUUUUGUUGGGAAAGAAAAGCAGCAGGUUAAUACCCCGCUGUUCUGACGGUACCCAAAGAAUAAGCACCGGCUAACUUCGUG
rnacentral:rRNA from 1 species